UCGCAGACUGAAGGCUCCUGACAGACAGUGGGCCGUGGGGCACUAAGUGACGUGCCUGGGGCAGGGGGAGCAUAGAGGCCGCAGAGGUGAAGAGCCUGAAGGUGACUCGGGCUGUGUGGCUUACAGGAAGCUCCGUGCGAUUGGAGAACUUUGUGGCUGGGUUAUGGAGCAGGAGAGAGACUUACUCUGGGUGUCCUUUCUACUCUUUGCAUUUUGAACCAGUGAGUCCAUUAACUAUUAAAAAAAAAAAAAAGAACAAACAGGGGCACCUGGGUGGCUCAGUUGGUUGAGCGUCAGCCUUCAGCUCAGGUCACGAUCCUGGAGUUCUAGGAUUGAGGCCUGCGUUGGGCUCCCUGCUUGGCGGGGAGUCUCCCUCUCCCUCUUCCCCUCACCCCGCUCAUGCUCUCUCUCUCUCAAAUAAAUAAAUAAAAUCUUAAAAAAAAAAAAAG
rnacentral:lncRNA from 12 species